UACGGAGGGUGCGAGCGUUGUCCGGAAUCAUUGGGCGUAAAGGGCGCGUAGGUGGCCCGGUCAGUCUUUGGUGAAAGCGCGGGGCUCAACCCUGCGUCGGCCAGGGAUACUGCCGCGGCUCGAGCACUGUAGAGGCAGGCGGAAUUCCGGGUGUAGCGGUGGAAUGCGUAGAGAUCCGGAAGAACACCGGUGGCGAAGGCGGCCUGCUGGGCAGUUUGGCUGACACUGAGGCGCGACAGCGUGGGGAGCGAACCGG
rnacentral:rRNA from 1 species